CCUACGGGGGGCAGCAGUAAGGGAUAUUGGUCAAUGGGGGAAACCCUGAACCAGCAACGCCGCGUGAGGGAAGACGGUUUUCGGAUUGUAAACCUCUGUCCUCUGUGAAGAUGAUGACGGUAGCAGAGGAGGAAGCUCCGGCCAACUACUUGCCAGCAACCGCCGGAAUAAGUAGGGAGCGAGCGUUGUCCGGAUUUACUGGGGGUAAAGGGUGCGUAGGCGGCUUGGCAAGUCAGUAGGGAAAUCCAUGGGCUUAACCCAGGAACUGCUAUUGAAACUGUAGAGCUUGAGUGAAGUAGAGGUAGGCGGAAUUCCCGGUGUAGCGGUGAAAUGCGUAGAGAUCGGGAGGAACACCAGUGGCGAAGGCGGCAUACUGGGCUUUAACUGACGCUGAGGCACGAAAGCGUGGGUAGCAAACAGGAUUAGAUACCCGUGUAGUC
rnacentral:rRNA from 1 species